GUGGCACGGACGAAAUCCUAUCAGCGCUGAUUUCGUCAUGUAAACAGGCAGAACGAACGCCGGUGAGAGCCAAUCACGCGCGUCCGGUAGUGGACUAAUCAAAAGACAAUAUGUAGCCCGGAGCGGGAAUACGCUUAUCACCAAAACAUGUUGGUCUGAACAAAUAUACGGACCUCUUUUUUAAUUUUUUUUUAUUUAUCAUUAGCGAAAACACACCGUAAACCGUGUGAAAGUACUAUUUGAGGAUUAAAAGGUUAUCCUUUGAUUUAUGUAAAGGAUGACAAUAACAUCUGUGACCUCGGGCGGCGUUGCUGAAUUUGUUGAACAAUACCAGAAUCUUCCUCAGUAUACAGUAUAAACUAAUAGAGAGAAAAACUGAAUGUGCUUUUACUCCCUGAAAAAUCGUUUUCCCGCACCAAGGACAACGACACACCACCCACAGUGAACACAAAGACUAAGUUCAAGCGGUUUGACUUCAGGACACAAGUAUGAACAUCAGAACUUCACAGGACCAAUAUUAAAAGGUCAACAGAGAGUGGCGCUAAUAAAAGUGUCGCUAACAGUUUCAAUACAAAUGCCUUUUAAUCUCAACUAACCUGACCGUCGUCUGCUGUGUUCACGGUACUCAUGCAGUACAAUGCCCUUUCUGCAGGUAUGUCCCACUCUAUUUCCGUUUUGCUCUCAGAUGCUUGCCUCCCACUCUGACCACCCUCCCCUCAUCAGGUCCAACUCAUUCCCACUCUUCUGCUAUCUUUUACUACCUCUUAUCCAUUUCCCAUUUUAUUUUUAAUUCCUUGGUGACACCCCCCACGCCUCCCCAUGCAUCACCUCCCUCCCACCUGUCCUCUGUCACUGCCCUCUCUGCUGCUCUACUGAUUUUUCGACAAUAGACACAAUGGAGUGUGUCAAUCAGGAACAUGAUAAACAGGCUGCAUUUGGGAAAGAUAGCAAGAAUGACGGUUCCAUCCUCCUCGUACCAGCAUGGGAAUGCAGCCUUUAAAUUUCUGUCAGCUUUCAUCGCUGGAGAGAAGCCUCCUGGGCAACUGUUGGCACCUUGUAUGCUGAACAAAGAGAUGAGUGGUUUCUCUUUUGACUACAGAGCAUAUCCCUCAAAAAGCCAGAGUGCUUUUAGCUUUCAGCGCAUGACACAUCUUUAGUAGCUCAUCUGUUUGAUGACUUUAGAGCCACCUCGAUCAGAUGCUUCCUCACAUUAACAUGGUGAUGACUCAAUCAUUGCUCCUCCACAAUAGAUGUCCCAGGUGUUGGUGCUAAACUCAACCUUGUAUUUUUAGAAGCGCAGCAACGGUGAAUAAUCAUGACAAGCACUUUCAAUAAAUGUGUUUCAUAAGGAGAUUACUUCAUGAUAACACGACAUUUAAUGGCCUAGUUCUUCCUGUUUUUUUCUGUACAUUUUGUAGCGAUCUGUUGCUACAGAAUUGGGGCAGUUGCACAAUAACUGUCCACCAGUUACUUACAGUUCAGUUACUAAAACUUAAAAACAUCCCAAAUCAUCUCAAUGCAGCUGGCAGGCGUCAGUUGAUCAGUUACCAACACAUUAGGUUAAAGGUCUUGAAAACUCAAGCAAAAUGAACGCACCUUGACAGCAUAACGUUUUUACAAGAAUUGUGGACAGUACAGUCGUGUAGUCAAUACAUUUUAUGUUUGUAUUAUAAGCAUGGCUCAGAAGCAGCGACGUGUUACUGUAUUUCCAAAAUAAAAAACCUGCUUCGACCUUUCGAGUGACGUUACGUUAAGUAACUAUUUAGUUUGAAGGUUUAAAACUCAACUUCAAAAUUCAAAUUCUUCUCUCAGUUAACCUUUUGUAGUCUUACUGCAUACGCAUCAUUCACUUUCACAGCAUUAACAAAGGAGUCUGGUGGUUUUUUACGAGGGACUAAACCUAGGUGUAGGGACCAACCAGAGACUUUCUCUGUGCUCUCUCUUCUCACCAACCUUCAUCACUUUCUCAGACUUACCUCUUGUUGGGUGCAGUCCAGC